AUUAUCUUGCAGCAGAUGUGUGGGAUGUCAAGCACGCUUGGAGCCUGAUGUCUCUGAUCCAUCGGUGAAAGGAGAUGUUAAUUUUCUCCUCUUCCAUCGAUAAGUGCUCCAAACAAGGCACAUGCAGACUUGGUUGUUGUGAUUGCACGACGGUCCAUGUCUUGUGUGUCGUGUUAUAUUACUGUCAUUUAUGUUCGCUGAUCUGUGGAGCGCUUUGUUUUAGCUGCAGCUGUUGUGAAAGCUCGACAUAAAUAACGAUGUAUCACAUCCAGUCCUCGCCCCACUCCGAACCUCUAAUCCUACUCAAAACACAAACCACCCCAACUUAGAACACCCUCGACCCGAAUUCUUUCAGAUUGCAAUGACUAAGUUUGAACAGCAGAGGGCAGCUAUCACUGCUUUCCGUGUAGGUCUAAAGGGGCUCUCGCAUGUUACAGUGAAGAACCCUAACCUAACUCCGAAGCCUAAACUCCGUAACCCGAACCCCUGACCCUAUUCUGAACCCUAACCCCCUAUCACUCGUAUAUCACCUUCAACAUCGACGUGAGUGGAAGAUAGAUAGUGUGAUUUUCUUCAAAGUUUUCCUGGAACAGUUUUUCACCAUAAAGAACAAAUUCACAGCAGCACAAGGUAUGUUGGUGGUCACUUGAUUCAAGUUACUUCACAAAAAACAAACAAGAUUUUUGUUGUGCCAGGUCCAAAGAGGACACGAUAGCUGAUCUCUGGAGGAUGAUUUGGGAGCAGAAGGUGUCGACUGUUGUCAUGCUGGCGCACCUGAAGGAGAGGAAGGAAGACGUGUGACCAGUACUGGCCGGAUCAGGGCUGCUGGACCUAAGGGAAUGCGCGUGGCAGUGGAGGACUCCGCCGUGCUGGUGCAUUACACCAUACGCAACAAUCCAGCGAUGCCGGCAAGAUGCCACGUGUGGUCACGCCGCUCCAUUUCGCCAGCUGGCCCUUCUCUCCCAUCGGCAUGCUCAAGUUCCCCAAGAAAGUCAAAGGCGCCCAAUCCGCCCUUUGCGUCCACUGCAGCGCCAGCGUUGGUCAGACAGGCAGGUUCAUCGUGAUUGUUGGGAUGAUGGACAAGAUGCACGCCGGGCAGGAAGUGGACGUGUUUGGCUUCGUUUGGAAAUCCGAGAGCAGCGUCUGCAGCUCUUCCAGACGGACGUGAGU